GUGUCAGCAGCCGCGGUAAUACGUAGGGGGCAAGCGUUGUUCGGAAUUACUGGGCGUAAAGGGCGCGUAGGCGGCACGGCAAGUCGGGAGUGAAAGGCCUGGGCUCAACCGAGGAACUGCUUUCGAGACUGCCGAGCUAGAGUGCGGAAGGGGCAACUGGAAUUCCCAGUGUAGCGGUGAAAUGCGUAGAUAUUGGGAAGAACACCUGAGGCGAAGGCGGGUUGCUGGGCCGACACUGACGCUGAGGCGCGAAAGCCAGGGGAGCAAACGGGAUUAGAUACCCCGGUAGUCC
rnacentral:rRNA from 1 species